rnacentral:rRNA from 1 species
ACACCUCCGUCGCCAGAGCCUGUCCGCUCCCCCGCCACCUCUCAUCCUGAGGACUUCCUGCUAGCCGCCGCCGGCAAGAAAUCCGGAGGACCACCACCUUUUCGCGACGAGGCCACUGUCUCCGCAUUGAACACUGUUUCGCCACUGCUACCGCGGCUCCAGGGCGCAGAUCCUCUGACUCGAGUCACCAAAGCAUCUGCUUGUAUUGGGUCGUUUCAUUAGUGCCUGGUCAAAUACCAGUGUAAACUGAACACAAUCCCAUAAGUUUACCUGGAAGCCAAGUGGGGCUCGCAAAUUAAUUUACCUCAACAAUUGUUCUGUGUGCAUCUAGAUCGGCCCCGGCAUCAUGUCUUCAGAGGAGCUCACAACAAGCUUGUCAGCUUUGGCGGUGGCUUCACAGGCCCCGAUGGCCAGCCAAAUCGGUUCUUCAGGUGAUCUGUCUUCUGAAGGUGGGGCGCAGGUCACUUGUUUCAGUGAGGACCUGCACGACGUCACGCUCCAUUUCCAGAUCAUAAGGUUCUCUAAACAGAUCUAUGCAUGGAUAGGAUGCAACAACUCGGCAAAGUUUGGCCAUUUAUAUGCUGCUGCAACCACUCGGCUGGGUGAUGGAGUGAGUGUCACAUCUGUACUUGGAGGAACAUCUGAUAACACUGGAUCAAGCAUGGCCCGCCGCUUAGUGCUGAAGACAGGUCUGAAUAUAAUUUUAGCAUGUAACAUUCCGAAGGACAGCCCCAUGCUUGAGGCUGCUGCAGAGAGGAAACUUGUAGAGAAGCUGAGAAGUUUAGGCUAUAUCAGAUCUAAAACAGGAGAGGCUAACGCUUCCACAACUCCUUUAUCCGCAACACACUGAUGGAUACUUGUGAACUGUCAAGUCAAUCGUAGAGAAAGUCACUACUCUUAACGUGUUUGAAACAUUUUGAAUGGUUAUGAAAGCUCAGCGGAGGCUUACCGAGUGUAGGCAUGAUGAUCUGAAUUUUUUGUGCGCGACUAUGAACUGCUUCAUGUUCACUGAAUUAUCAAACAUGUGGCAAGUAUCACAUCUGGCAUGUUUACACGUCUGCAUCUUCAGAGGUUGUGCGCCAUCUACCAUUUCAGUGUCUCACGUGUGGAACCCUACAUUCAGGUAUUUGUUGCUCACAGAAAUGAACUUUGC